UGUGUAGGCGGUUUUUUAAGUUUGGUGUGAAAUCUCCCGGCUUAACCGGGAGGGUGCGCCGAAUACUGAGGGACUAGAGUACGGGAGAGGAAAGUGGAAUUCCUGGUGUAGCGGUGAAAUGCGUAGAUAUCAGGAGGAACACCGGUGGUGUAGACGGCUUUCUGGACCGUAACUGACGCUGAAACACGAAAGCGUGGGUAGCAAACAGGAUUAGAUACCCUGGUAGUCCACGCCCUAAACGAUGCAUAUUUGGUGUGGGCAGUUCAUUCUGUCCGUGCCGGAGCUAACGCGUUAAAUAUGCCGCCUGGGGAGUACAGUCGCAAGGCUGAA
rnacentral:rRNA from 1 species